UACAGAGGGUGCAAGCGUUAUUCGGAAUCACUGGCGUAAAGAGUUCGUAGGCGUUUGUUUAGUCGAAUGUGAAAGCCCUGGGCUCAAUCCAGGAAGUGCAUUCGAUACUGGCAAGCUAGAGUGCAGGAGAGGAAGGCGGAAUUCCAGGUGUAGAGGUGAAAUUCGUAGAUAUUCGCAAGAACACCAGUGGCGAAGGCGGCUCACUGGCCGUAACUGACGCUGAGCACGAAGCGUGGGAGCAACAGG
rnacentral:rRNA from 1 species